rnacentral:rRNA from 1 species
UACAGAGGUCCCAAGCGUUGUUCGGAUUCAUUGGGCGUAAAGGGGGCGUAGGUGGCGCCGUAAGUCGGGUGUGAAAUUUCGGAGCUUAACUCCGAAACUGCAUUCGAUACUGCCGUGCUUGAGGACUGGAGAGGAGACUGGAAUUUACGGUGUAGCAGUGAAAUGCGUAGAGAUCGUAAGGAAGACCAGUGGCGAAGGCGGGUCUCUGGACAGUUCCUGACACUGAGGCACGAAGGCCAGGGGAGCAAACGGG